AGAGUUUGAUCAUGGCUCAGGAUGAACGCUGGCGGCGUGCCUAAUACAUGCAAGUCGAACGGACAGAGACGCAAGUUUCUGUGAGUGGCGAACGGGUGAGUAACGCGUGGGUGACCUGCCCCGAAGUGUGGGAUAACAGCUCGAAAGGGCUGCUAAUACCGCAUGCGGUCCUUCUGAUUAGAAGGGAAGGACGAAAGGGAGCAUUCUUUGAAUGCUUCCGUUUUGGGAGGGGCCUGCGUCCCAUCAGCUAGUUGGUCGGGUAAAAGCCUACCAAGGCGACGACGGGUAGGGGGCCUGAGAGGGUGGCCCCCCACACUGGCACUGAAACACGGGCCAGACACCUACGGGUGGCAGCAGUAGGGAAUAUUGCACAAUGGGCGCAAGCCUGAUGCAGCAACGCCGCGUGCGCGAUGAAGGCCUUCGGGUCGUAAAGCGCUUUUCGGGGAGAGGAGGAAGGACCGUAUCCCCGGAAUAAGUCUCGGCUAACUACGUGCCAGCAGCCGCGGUAAAACGUAGGAGGCAAGCGUUAUCCGAAUUUACUGGGCGUAAAGCGCGUGCAGGCGGCAGGGGAAGUUGGAUGUGAAAGCUCCCGGCUCAACUGGGAGAGGACGUCCAAGACUCCUCAGCUGGAGGGCGGUAGAGGGAGGUGGAAUUCCCGGUGUAGUGGUGAAAUGCGUAGAUAUCGGGAGGAACACCAGAGGCGAAGGCGGCCUCCUGGACCGUACCUGACGCUCAGACGCGAAAGCUAGGGGAGCGAACGGGAUUAGAAACCCCGGUAGUCCUAGCCGUAAACGAUGUGGACUAGGUGUGGGUGGGGUAAAAGCCAUCGGCGCCGCAGCCAACGCGAUAAGUCCACCGCCUGGGGACUACGGCCGCAAGGUUAAAACUCAAAGGAAUUGACGGGGGCCCGCACAAGCAGCGGAGCGUGUGGUUUAAUUCGAUGCUACACGAAGAACCUUACCCGGGCUUGACAUGCAGGUAGUAGGGAGGCGAGAGCCGACCGACCCUUCGGGGAGCCUGCACAGGUGCUGCAUGGCUGUCGUCAGCUCGUGUCGUGAGAUGUCCGGUUAAGUCCGGUAACGAGCGCAACCCUCGCCCUAGGUUACAAGUGUCGUAGGGUACUGCCGGUAUCAAGCCGGAGGAAGGUGGGGAUGACGUCAAGUCAGCAUGGCCUUUAUGUCCGGGGCUACACACACGCUACAAUGGCCGGUACAAUUGGUUGCAAAGCCGCGAGGCAGAGCCAAUCCAGAAAGCCGGUCUCAGUUCAGAUUGCAGGCUGCAACCCGCCUGCAUGAAGUCGGAGUUGCUAGUAACCGCGCGUCAGCUACAGUGCGGUGAAUACGUUCCCGGGCCUUGUACACACCGCCCGUCACGUCAUGGGAGCUGGUAACACCUGAAGCCGGUAGCCUAACCCGCAAGGGCAGGCGCUGUCGAAGGUGGGGCUGGUGACUGGGACGAAGUCGUAACAAGGUAACC
rnacentral:rRNA from 1 species